rnacentral:rRNA from 1 species
CCAAUAGCGUAUAUUAAAGUUGCUGCAGUUAAAAAGCUCGUAGUUGAAUUUCGGGACUAAUAUGUCGGUCGUGCCUCGGUACGUACUGGUAUUUUUGGUUUCUCCCUUCUGACGAACCUUGAUGUCAUUAAUUUGGUGUCUUGGGAAAUCAGGACUGUUACUUUGAAAAAAUUAGAGUGUUUAAAGCAGGCUCACGCUUGAAUACAUUAGCAUGGAAUAAUGAAAUAGGACGUUUGAUUCUAUUUUGUUGGUUUCUAGGAUCGACGUAAUGAUUAAUAGGGAUAGUUGGGGGCAUUAGUAUUCAAUUGUCAGAGGUGAAAUUCUUGGAUUUAUUGAAGACUAACUACUGCGAAAGCAUUUGCCAAGGAUGUUUUCAUUAAUCAAGAACGAAAGUUAGGGGAUCGGAGACGAUCAGAUACCGUCGUAGUCUUAACCAUAAACUAUGCCGACUAGGGAUCGGAUGAUGUUAAUUUUUUAAUGACUCAUUCGGCGCCUUACG